GUGCAGCAGGCGAGAAUACUUUACAAUGUGCGAAAGCACGAUAAGGGAACUCUGAGUGCCUCCUAAGGAGGCUGUUCAGGUGUCUAAAAGCACCUGAAGGAAGGGCUGGGUAAGACCGGUGCCAGCCGCCGCGGUAACACCGGCAGCCCAAGUGGUAGCCACGUUUAUUGGGUCUAAAGCGUCCGUAGCCGGCUGGGUAAGUUCCUUGGGAAAUUUGGCUGCUUAACAGUCAAGCUUUCAGGGAAUACUGCCCGGCUUGGGACCGGGAGAGGUCAGAGGUACUCCAGGGGUAGGGGUGAAAUCCAUUAAUCCUUGGGGGACCACCGGUAGCGAAGGCGUCUGACCAGACCGGGUCCGACGGUGAGGGACGAAGGCUAGGGGCGCGAACCGGAUUAGAUACCCCGGUAGU
rnacentral:rRNA from 1 species